GCUGAGCAUGGUGGAACACGCAUAAUCCUUGCUACUAGGGAGGCUGACACCGAUGGAUCACUUAAGCUCAAGAGUUCUGAGUUGCAGUAAGGCUUAAGCUGAUUGGGUGUCCCCACUAAGUCUGGCAUCAAUAUGGUAAGCCACAGAAGGCCUUCUGGCUGCCAAAGGAAGGGAACAUGGACCCAAGUUAGAAACAGAGUGGGUCAAAGCUUUCAUUUUGAUCAUCAGUGGGAUGACGUCCAUGAGUGAUCACUGCACUUCUAGCCUGGGUAAGUUAUGAAGACCCAGUGUCAA
rnacentral:SRP_RNA from 1 species